UCAGUAAUGUGGUUGUGUAACAGCAGUGGAUGUCAAAAGCGACCAAAUGGCCUGAAAAGAGAAACGGAAUGCUGGCACUGGAGGGGACUCCAGAGCGCAUCCCGUGCACACAGGCCCGCGUCCAGAAAAGGAAACUGUCCCUACGGGGAAUGCGAGGGACUACUUAAAAGUGUGGCUUUUAAGAGGCGCCCAGAACUGACCAGAGGGACCAGCAGAAGCAAAAGUCUGCAGAAACGUCCCCAUUAGGGGGCUGGUCCUUGGGGUAAUCGCCAUAAAAACACCAACAGGAGCAGACACCCCAUUCUGGGCAUGGGCUCAUCUCACCUUCUUCCCAUGCUUUUCUCAUUAAGGUGGAAACACGAUCACGUCCUGGCUCAGAGAGGUUACGUAACUGAGACCCAAGAUCGCGACCUUGAACCCAGAGCUGCCUGGCGCGGCCUCGCAGUCCCUGAGGUCGGACUCCGGAGACCGGGUGAGCGGAAGAGGGAAGCCCUCGGGGAAGGGGUGUGCACCCACGAUGGCCACAAACGGCUCUGUCUUUGGCAGGGGAAGCUGCGAAGGCCCAGGGACCCUGCGAGCGGCCAAGAGAGAAACGAUGCUAUCUGUGCUCCGCUCACAGGGGUGACACUGUGGCCUGCAGCCUCUCCUGGUGUAUCUGGGACAGUGGACACUACCAGGUAAGAAGGUACUCCCCACAGAAUCUUCCUCAACCUUGGCAGCCCCGGAGUUGCUCGUUUUCCCUCCUGGACCCUCCGCCACAGUCACGUGAGCUUUACGCUCCUUACCCCAGCUGAAGGAUGAUGAGGCAAGGGCAACAAUAGGAAAAAUAAACAAAUGGGACUGCAUCAAAAAGCUUUUGAUGAGAGAAGAUAACUUGCAAAUGAUGAGAAGAUAAUUUGCAAACGAUGUAUCUGAUAAGGGGCUAAUAUCCAAAGCAUACAAGGAAGUCAUACAACUCAACAUCAGAGAAACAAACAACCCAGUUAAAAAAUGGGCAGAGGACCUGAAUAGGCAUUUUUCUAAAGAAGACCCAGAGAUGGCCAACAGGCACGUGAAGAGAUGCUCAGCAUCGCUAGUCAUCAGGGGAAUGCAAAUUGAAACCAUAAUGAGAUAUCACCUCACACCUGUCAGAACGGCUAUUAUCAAAAAGGCAACA